UGAGCAAUCUGCCCUUCACAUCGGAAUAACCAUUGGAAACGAUGGCUAAUACCGAAUAUGACUUCGGAUCGCAUGAUCUGAAGUGGAAAGCUCCGGCGGUGAAGGAUGAGCUCGCGGCCUAUCAGCUUGUUGGUGGGGUAAUGGCCUACCAAGGCGUCGACGGGUAGCCGGCCUGAGAGGGUGUCUGGCCACACUGGGACUGAGAUACGGCCCAGAUCCGUACGGG
rnacentral:rRNA from 1 species